rnacentral:rRNA from 1 species
GAAUUGACGGGGGCCCGCACAAGCAGUGGAGUAUGUGGUUUAAUUCGAAGCAACGCGAAGAACCUUACCAGGGCUUGACAUCCCUCUGACCGUUCUAGAGAUAGGACUUCCCUUCGGGGCAGAGGAGACAGGUGGUGCAUGGUUGUCGUCAGCUCGUGUCGUGAGAUGUUGGGUUAAGUCCCGCAACGAGCGCAACCCCUGUUGUUAGUUGCCAUCAUUAAGUUGGGCACUCUAGCGAGACUGCCGGUGAUAAAUCGGAGGAAGGUGGGGACGACGUCAAAUCAUCAUGCCCCUUAUGUCCUGGGCUACACACGUACUACAAUGGCUAUUACAGAGGGAAGCGAAGCCGCGAGGUGGAGCAAAUCCCCCAAAGAUAGUCCCAGUUCAGAUUGCAGGCUGAAACUCGCCUGCAUGAAGUCGGAAUUGCUAGUAAUGGCAGGUCAGCAUACUGCCGUGAAUACGUUCCCGGGCCUUGUACACACCG